rnacentral:tRNA from 1 species
UCCUGGUAAGCUCAGUUGGUAGAGCACUCCAAUGGAAAUGGAGAGAUCGCUGGUUCGAUACCAGGAACGGGCG